rnacentral:rRNA from 1 species
CAGUCGCCGCGGUAAUACGGAGGGUGCAAGCGUUAAUCGGAAUUACUGGGCGUAAAGCGCACGCAGGCGGUCUGACAAGUCAGAUGUGAAAUCCCCGGGCUUAACCUGGGAACUGCAUUUGAAACUGUCAGGCUGGAGUCUUGUAGAGGGGGGUAGAAUUCCAGGUGUAGCGGUGAAAUGCGUAGAGAUCUGGAGGAAUACCGGUGGCGAAGGCGGCCCCCUGGACAAAGACUGACGCUCAGGUGCGAAAGCGUGGGGAGCAAACAGGAUUAGAGACCCGCGUAGUCCCUGUCUCUUAUAA